rnacentral:rRNA from 1 species
UACGUAGGGAGCAAGCGUUGUCCGGAAUCAUUGGGCGUAAAGAGCUCGUAGGCGGCUUGUCGCGUCGAAUGUGAAAUCCCGAGGCUCAACUUCGGGCUUGCAUUCGAUACGGGCAGGCUAGAGUUCGGUAGGGGAGACUGGAAUUCCUGGUGUAGCGGUGAAAUGCGCAGAUAUCAGGAGGAACACCGGUGGCGAAGGCGGGUCUCUGGGCCGUAACUGACGCUGAGGAGCGAAAGCGUGGGGAGCGAACAGG